rnacentral:lncRNA from 1 species
CAUUGCAGCAUCCUCGGUGUCAUGCCACAGGAACCUGUGCAGAUGGACCACUCUCACUCCCAACCAGACAGAGUUGUAAAUUUUGCGGAUGUCAACAAGGGCAGCAACAGGAAUCAAGCAGGUGAAAAACCAGGUGAAAAACCAGGUUAUAGAAGAUAAAUCCAUGUAAACUAAUUCAUCAUUUCAAAACAAGGCAAAAGUACAUUUCAAUAAACAUCCGCUUAGGGGAAGCAUAAAUUUCCCAAUUAGAACCAUUUACUUGAAAUUAACUUUGUUUUUGUUUUUUAUUUAACCUGAGUUUUAUACUGUUUCAGACAUGAAACAUUUAUACUUUAAAUUUUCACUACACUCUAAUAUUUUUAAAAUAACAUGAAAUAUUUUUUUAACUAACAACAAAUCAACUAACUAACUAAAUCAAAUAUUUAAUCCUGUUUUAGUGAAGGCUUUAACAUUGCUAUUUGAAACAGAAAUACUCUAUUUAUAUAUAAUUCACAUUUUAAAAAAGCAGAAUGUUUUAACCAAUAUUAUCUAUAUUAAUCAACUUAACCUCUUAAAAAAGGUCUAAAUCAUUGCUUCAAAAUUGAAAACAGUCUUUAUAAAAGGAAACAAUAGAUCCUUUUCCCUUUUUUUUUCAAAAGAGAGUCCGGCGAUGAGGCAUCUUACCAGUAGCCCUUUUUGGUUUUAAGUCCUUUUCCCAUGCCUGUUUUAGUGCUCAGUGCCUGGUUUUGCCGUCCUCCUCUCGCUUUUACCUCAGCCAAAUGACUAGUGUUCUGCUCUGUUGUCCAAAGACCACAGUGUGUGCUGCUAAUUACUUGAGUUUUUUUUUUUUUCACCUGCGCCGCACACCAAGCAGCUCGCACCGUGUUUCCUUUUUUUUUUUUUUAAUUGAGCGAGUCAUGUUUGUCAAAAUAAAAGCAUAAUAAACAAUCACUUCCUCAAUAAAGUUUCUGUCAUGUGAAAUGUGGCAGACUAAGUCAUAGCCAUACCAGACCCUUCCAAAUCAACAGGUGUGAACAGGAGGCUUUGGUCCAGCUGUAGAUUUAGAAGGUCAGUGGGUCAAACCACACAUGCCCAAGUGUCCCCUCCUACCCCUGCUGGUUGUGUCCAGCAAUGUGUGAAUGGGAUUAGUCAAAAACUGAUGGGCUCCAUUGAAAACAGCCUCUGCUGUAAGCAUGUGAAUAGGGGACUGUCACGUAGGAUGAAAUGUACAAGUGACUUGAGUGGUCAGAAAACUCAAGAAAGCACUACACAGCCUCCUCACCAUUAACAAUAUGUAAUCUCUCCAGGGAUUAAAGUUAGGUUAACAUUCACUUUACACCUCUUCUCUGCCGUAAGAAAAAAAUAAAAAUAAAAAAGGGCUUGAUCUUAACCACUUGCACCCGGUGCCCACCCAUGGGCGGGCAAGACCAUGGCAUGAGCCUCUUCCGGUCAUCUCCAGCCUCUAGCUCCACAAGGGCGAGACAAAAUAACAGAUUUUUCUCUGAUUUCACUACAGGGGGGUUAGAGCAUGUCUAAAAUGCUGUGUUUGAAUAUUUCACAGACCUAUAUUUAUAAUUUUUAAGAUUUUAAACACUUUAUGCACAUUUUAAACACGCUGCGGACAUGAGUGACUCCAGUAGAAAAGAGGAAGCUGGAGAAGCCGUCAGGUAACUCCACCCCACUAACAUCCUCCUCUUUCAAAUGAGACCAGUCUUACCUCACUACGUUAUUUAAAUACCCUUCCAGUUUUACAAUGGUAAGCAGGUAAAGAUGUAUUCCAUUUUCAUUAUUUUUUUCGCGGUGAAAUUUGCCGGUAAACUUUGUCUUCAGUCUUUUUUUUCCAUAAAGUUCCCCACAAGCUAACACAACAAACAUUUCCUUCUGAUUGAACCACAAAAAUGCCUGUCAAGCUGACAGACAUUUCAGUCUGGCCAACCAUAGCCCAAAGUUCACUGUCUGUACCUGCCCAUCUAUUGUAUACAGCAAUUGGAUGAAUCAAUUCAGGUUUGACUGUAGUCAAUUCAUUCUGCCAAUAUGAGGCUCUCAGAUGAGGGGUUGAUCCAGGUAAUCUCCACCGAUUGGCUGAGAUACAUGCCUGCGCAGCCUUGCAGCGCAAAGCCAAGUAGCUACAGCGAUGCUAAAUGCUAAUGCUCAGGACCAUACAGACAAUGGACGGGACGCACGGGACAGCGAGUUGACUCACGUGUUUUGAUGUUGUAACCAUGAGUAGCGCCACAGCCAUCGUUAAAAAAGCCAGACGGCUGUUAGUGUUUAUGAUACCUGAUUAACGUCCCAUAUGUCCAAGAUCAUAGUUUUAUGAACUAUAUCAAAGUCAUAACAAGACAUGAUAGAUAGAAAUAAAUAUCAAUAAAUAAACAACAGAGAUUGUUAUAAAUAGAACAAUAUGCAAGGCACCUGAGCUUUACUCCAGAUUUCAUAAAUAUUUCAAAAUCAUCUCCUGUGUUUAUGAUUAUUCAUGUCUUUUGUAUUUUUAUCCAUUAGAUAAAACUGCCUUGUGCUGUGCACAAUGGUAGAAAAUAUUAUUACAUACAACAUACAUGAUUUAGAACCACCUAAAAUUGUGAGGUAGUCCUUGUGGAAAAGAAAUAAUCAUUAUUUCUAUGACACCAAACUUGGAAGGAUUGCAGGUUAGAUGUUGUAGAGCAGAUCCAAUUAAUAAAAUGCCUUCUCACAUUGGUUUUACUUAUACCUUUUACAAUAAAAUUACUUUUUUUUUUUUCUAGACGGAGAUAAAAUUUUGAUUUUUUUCUGUAGUUUAUCUGAUAUCAUUCUAGCAUUACAAAGGUCACAGCCAUUUUUUCACAUGAUUUAGAUUCAAUAAUAUAUCACCUUUUUAUAGACACCAAGAUUGUGGAUCUAGGCCCUACAGUUGAUGAGCUAUUACUGAUUUACUUUGGGUAUGUAAUUUCAGGCGGAAAUAACCCUGAAAUAGCUCAGGGGCCAAGUGAAUUCAACCAAAACACCGUAUUUGGAGAUCUGAGCAAAAUAAAAUCUUUAAGCAGUGCUGUGGCUGCUAAAUGCUGAUCUUGGACUAAUAUUGAAGUCUAAAGUAGCUAGCAUGUAAAUAAGUGCACAUUGGACAACAUUUAGUGAGCACUGAUAAGAGUCAGGAGCUUAUAGCUGCUCUGAUGAUAAGAAGGUCAGCAGACACUGUACACUCAGAAUAAAACACACGACUGAAGUGAAAAAAGAAUGUCUGUGUUGUAAACGAGAGGAUAAGUGAAAGAGAUGAUCAGAUGACCAAAAUGGACUGUUGUAUCUCAUCUUACAUAGGUGGCAAACAAAUACUCUUUCACAGGAGUAUUUCUGGAGACAUGAAUUAAUCCCUUCGACCCUCUUCCACUUCCCAGCACUUUUAGACCACAUCUUGUCCUGCAAAGUGCUUAGUAUAUGUACUUGUUUGCACACACAUUGGUGUGUGUGUGGUGUAGUGGGGGCCAUUAUAGAGUUGCUAUUUUAAAUGCUAUAAAAACUUGCAGAGGAAAAUGACUGGGGUUGAAUUACUCCAAUGAGCCACCGAUCAAUCUUUGCUUUUUUACUUCCAUCCUCCCACCAAGUUCAUUUCACUUUGUUGAAACACGCAGAGAAAACCACAUAUUGGGUAACAUAGAGCCAUUUAGAAAGCAAUUUAAGGUACUACACAGAUUGCAGGGCCAGUGAUGGAGUGUUGCCUCUUAAUUAUACUGUAUCACCGUUGCAGAAAAGCUCUCAGAUGUGACUUGUUGCUGUCUAGGAGAGUGGGAGAUGGAGUAAGAGAUGACUCAGACAUAAUGAUAGAUCUGGCUGUAAUUCUUUUGAAAAUGUUAGAAUUCAAGUCACCUUUCCAGUAUAUUCAUAAGAGAGCACACAGUUUUAUAUGCUGAUUUUUGGAGAUAAAAGCUUGCUGAUGGUUAUUGCAUCAGUAUAUCACGUGAAGCAUAUCUGUACUGUGCAUAUGCCUGUACAGAUUUAAUAGGGUUAGGUUCAAAUUUGGGAAAUGGUUAGAUAGAUGACAGACUGAUGUUAUUCUCACAUUACUUCAAAAAUUAAAGCUCUCAUGGGAAAUAAUAACAAAAACUACCCUCUUAAGCUCACAAAUAAUCACUUACUGUUCUUUCUGUUUAAUAUGUCUCCAAUAAAAAGUGUUGAACUAAUAUUUAUUACAUUUACCUGCACCAGUUUUAGAGCUAUGAGUGUUACAUCCCUGCUAACAUUAGACUGUCAAAAAGAGAAAGAUUAUGUGAGGUAUCAAGCAACCCUGUCCACAUAGUUUUUUGUUUAUUUAUUCGUUUAUUUUAUUUAACCAUCAUUUAGCCAGGUUAGUCCCAUUGAGAUUAGAAAUCUCUUUUUCAAAGUAGACCUGGCCAACACAUAUACAGUAAAUACAUUCAUCACAGCAUACAUGGAUCAAUUCAUCAAAUAGACACUCUGCCAAGCAGAGUUUGAUGCGACAGAGAUCAACAGACAGCCCGGCAAGGCCACGAGUAAGGGGGAGAUGAUGUGAUGAUAAUGAUUAUGGGUGAAGGGAAUGUCGACUGUUGGGGGUGAACCCUGGAUUAGCUCACCAUCAAGUAUCAAAACUCUGGGGUAAAAAAACUGGCCUGGGCAACAAAGCCAAAACAAGGUUUAGACUUACAAAAUACCAUCUUCACAAAAACACUUUACCUUGCAAAACUUCAAACAAAUGCCAUGCCAUUAAUCAGCGAUGAUGAUUAACAGGUGGGUAAUAUUACUCACCAAUUCACGCUCUACACAUUCUGACGUUAUUCGUGUCCGGGUUUUAUCAGUCCACCUAGUUCGGGUUGUUUAUACGGCAGUUUUAGCAGUUUUGUUCAGUUCUUACGAACUAAAUGUAAAAAAUUGUGCUCUGUGAUCCUUUCCAGUCAGCGUCUUCAACUUACUCUCUCCCUCUUCUGGUUUAAAAUCGCUGCAUGUGUGCUAGCAUUGGCUGGUAGCACUCACACCAGAUUUCGACGUGAUUUGAUAAAACUCCGCUAUCAUGGCAUUUGACUUAGUGUCACAAUUUUUACAAAAUCAAAAUUACAACUAGGGCCCCGUUGGGACACUGGCGGGCCCGAGCUGUGUGGCCCCCCCCCCAACGCGCUGCCUCCCCGUCCCAUUCGCGUCCUCUGGCCAUCGCCCUCUCUGGUAACGCCCAUCACUGCAAAGACCCUUUUCCUUCAUCGGUGUUUGCUGUUCUUCCUGCCAGUGCGUGUUGCUUUCACUUACACUUGCAACAGCCAGCCUCGUGAGUGCCUAGCCUAUUGGAUAUCACUGUCACCAACACAGGACAGUCAUUACCUUUCUAUUAAUACUUUGUUUUUAAUUUCACAUUAAUUUCCAUAUUGUAUAAAUGACUGGAAAAAACUUGAGCCCCUGCCCCUGUAUUAUCAUGUGCACGUCCCUGUUGUAGCUCCAAGGUGAAUCUUCACUGCUCAUGUUCUCCUCAGAAGCAGUCACCUCACUCCCCUCAGGUUACUGUACACAUGCACCAACUGCCUGUUUCAGGUUUGGAUGGAGCUUCAUGGUUGUCUUUUGGAGAAAUGACCAGUCAAGUUGUGUUUGAAAUUUGAUUUUUUUCAGGGGCAAAAGGAGCCUCUGCAUUCUUGUCAAAUAUGUAAAUAGCAUGUUUUUGCAGGUGCUAAAAACCAGACUCUGAGUGUGUGUGUGUGUGUGUGUGUGUGUAUGUGUGCGUGUGUGUGUGUGUGUCUGUGUGUGCGUUCAAGUCACAUGACAUAUUUAACCGGAUGUAGCUGCAAGACGGAGCCUCGUUGACUCUCCGUUUCAACUUAUCUCAAAAGUGAGGACCUCAACCUAUAUACCAGUUUUUAAAUUGUGUUGAUAGGCCAAAUAAAACCAGAGUUAUGAUAAAUUAUGUCCGCGAUACUUUUUUUCUGCUUAUUUUGAUCACGAUCGGCGCUCGAUCGCGCUGUAUGAGACAGGAAAACAUAGCAUGCAGACAUUAGCGACAGGUCUUACAGGCGGAAAAGGCUUGCCAAAAGAAAAAAAAACACACCACAACAUCUCUCCUAUUGGUGGAAAACUUCACCACAACAACCAAUCCAAAAUUAUAUGGUGACUGAUUGACAAGGGGCGGGCGCUUACGUUCUUCCUGCAACAUGAGAAGGGAGGGAGGGACUCUCAGCAGGGAUGCAGUCUGGGACACGUAGUUGCAAACCUAGCGACUUUGUUGUUAGAUUCAAUGACUUUUCAGACCCCCUAACGACUUUUUUUUAGAAAGAAAGGGACUUUUAUCGACUUCUUCUGGAGUUUAGAGACUCUGACAUGAAGCAGGCUUUCCUUACUGAGGAGUUAGCAACGC